UUCUUUUUGUUAGGUUUCCUUUGAGUCAUAUUUGUAAAGUUUUUUCCAUUUACUUAGCUUACUUGUACCAAGGUAAGGCGGCAUAGCUGUUUAGCUUACUGAGAUGUAGCAGUUAAUGUUUAGGGUAUUCUCUCUACCUUGUCUCAAGGAAUUGUUCUGUUCGAUAAAAAAUUAAAUUAUCUGAUCUACUAGACAAGCUCGGCAGAGGCCUCUGUCCAGUUUGUAAUCACUCUGAACGUUGGUUGGGAGCUCAAGAGGGUUGCGUGCAGUCAGUUAUGCUGAACAUAAGUUCGUUUUAUGAUAAAUUGAUCAAGAGACUCAUAUAUGAGCAUACACUAGUGGACAUUUUCUCAAAAAAAACAUUUAGCUGAAUUGUUGAUGAUAUAAUCAGAGUGAGCAAGUGUCAGCUAGAUGUAGGGCAACAAUACAUAAUGGCAUGAACGUUGAGAUGUUGAUCUGUGUAGGUAGUCGCACCUAAUUCAUUGUGUCAUCUAUUUUAUUUGAUUCCCCAUGUAUACUUAUGGGGGACGAAACACGUUGAAGCUUGUAUCAUCUCCAUAGUUUGGGGCAUAUCUACUUACUGUUAUUCAUCAAUCCAAUUUUGUAUUGUAUUUCUGAUAGACAUGGAAUUGAUUUAUUUUGUUUCAUCAAUACUUAAGAAACUCUCUCUACCACGUCUCAAGGAAUUGAUUUAUUUUGUUUCAUCAAAUCCUUGCUGGUGCAGAGCUGUAUUUCUCCUCAGGGCAACUUGGUAGAUAGCCUUCAGAGUUCAAACAUUCUUUGUCCAUACUAGUCCUGCGUGCAGUUCGUUAGUACUGUUUGACAAUCUAGUCUCUGAUUUAUGGCAUCUGACUUUCUUUACAAUUUCUGUAAACAUAUCUCGGUUGAAUUUCAAAGGAGGGUACAUAAAAGAUUCUGCUGAAGUGCUGAUGUGCUGUUCAUAUGAUGUUUCUAGCUUUGCUGCUGGGUUCGUCUGGAGCAGCAUCAAUUAGGGUGGUGUUUUCAAAUUGUAUUGUCCAAGUGCAUUAAAUUCCAUAGUUGAGAAACUGAUCCUUUGAAAAUCUCAGUGGCUGCAGGUCUCUUAAAAACUCGCAGGUUGAAGGUUGGAAGCACAUAUGGUACGUCGGCAUCACUGUGUCAAAUUCGUUGUGCCUCUGAAUCUUCUCAAUGUCAGGUGGGAACACAGACCUUGCAUGUCACUCUGCCUAUUUUUCUCACGUUUCAAGAUCAGCACCUCUCUAGAACACUCAGAUAUGUACGGAGUCAAGAGGCUAGCUACAGGUAACAGAGUUCCAGAACCAAAGACCUUUUGUUUCUUCAUGGAGAAUUUUAUGCUCCUGGCCUACCUUUCAUAACUAAAGAUUGUUUGACCUGAUGCUGUCUCUCUCUUCUGCAUCUCUACACUUGCCUGAUCUGAGGGAAGGUCUUCCUUGGCUUACAGACUGCAAAGAUCCACGUCAGUCAGUGCGCUGGUAAGAGCCUCAGUCCUGAGAGGGAGGGAAGAUGCACGCAGGUCGUGAUCACUCUUCCAUCUGCAUGCACUCCUGAACAGCUCUGGAAAGAGAUGUGGAGGUUCAGAAAGCGCAGGCUGCCAUGGCACACACGGAUUGGCGGUCAACUCUGUCGUCUCCAUCACCCCAGUUAAUCUGAUGGCUCCAUAUGUCAUAUCUUCAUGCAGAUUAUACUCCGACCUGUCACUGACGAGAAGAACCAAGACGAUACACAUCAGCAUCGACACCCUGCUGACUGCUCAAGAAGGGUACGUCAGUACUACAAGAGAGGACACGAACGGCUGUUAGCUCCAGUCAGAUGCUUAACCGGUAUGCAUCUGUAUUAAUAGAUGACUGCGGAUAAAGCAACGAAGAGGACGGCAUUGAUAUAUCAAGUGUUCUAGAGGACGCCAUGCUUAUCUGCUGCAUAUCCAUCCGUAAGCAGGUGGUCAGGAAGUCAUCGCUAGACAUGCCUGCCUGCGCAGGCUUCCGGAAUGUGUACGGGCAAUGCAUCAGCAGGUUUCUGAACUGCAUCUAUGAGAUUUGUUUACGUGCAGUGAUCAACCAUUUUUCUUUUGUAAGGCCGGAAAGAAGUUCACGAGUCAGGGAUUCGUUUGUAUGGAGAUUACCAGAGAUUUUGUGCUAUGUUGUAACUCUGACAAAUCGUGGCAGUACUGCCCCUCCGAACAAGGUCUUUUUUCCCCACCGCAAAAUCUUGAAAGAAUCGAAUGAACUGAUUCGUGUGA